CCACAGCGAAGGGGCGACGGACGCCUGCUCGGGGAGCAGGAACGAGCACAGAGGGCUGGCUCUGCCAGAUACCCCAGUCUUUUUUCUUUCUUUGUUUUAUUUUAGUUUGUUUGUUUUGUUUUUUUAAAUUUAUUUUAACCCAGAAAUAAUACACACUCUUCCAUCCUUCCCGGAUAUAUUUUUUUUUUAUGGUGAAUAUUCAACUUCUGUAAGGUUUUUUCUUUUCUCCGCGCCUCCCUGCAUGUCAGCGAAUGUCCCCUGGCAGCGGCCCGGGGGGGAUGUGUGCCUGGCUUUCGCCCUAAGCAACCAGGCGAACGUAUCCCUCUAUCAAAUCUCCUUAGUUUGUGCUUGUCAAAAUCCGAGUUAUACGAGAUGAAAAAAUGUGGCUCCUCCUUGAAGUUGCCCCAGCCAUCAGGUGAAGCCAAAGCAAGCUGUGGGAUGUGUCCAUCCCAACAGCUGGCGGUAGGCAUUUUUCCUCUGUUUCUUUCUUAUUACCCCCCCGCUCCUCAACCCUCUUAUCUCAGCUGUGUACAAACUGAUAUGGUACUUAGCAGGAAAGUGACUGGAAAUUAAAAUAACUUCGUUCACCAGAGGUUAUCAGCUGGAUAUCUGUCAUCAUCAGUUUGUACAGAAAGUCAUCUGCGGCAAAGGGCUGGACUAGAGCAGAGCCGGGCUCUCGGCAGCCGACAGGCAUGAGCCCUCCCGACAGAAACCGAGCCCAAACCUGCUGAUGCGCGGUGCUGUUGCUCCUGGGAAUGAACAAUUUCACAAAUAAGAGGUCUGCCAGUGACUGUUCCUGUGGAAGGCAUACACAACCCCUGCCUUGCAUACAGCUGGCCAACAGGCACCAUCCCAGCCCAUAACAUUUCAACUGUCCUGAGACAGAAGAAAAAAACUGCUGAGCAAGCUACCAAAAAUUUGAAAGAGUGUGGCCUGUGAGUUUUUCUGCUUCUUCACCCAAGGGGAUUUUGUACCAGGUAAAUAAUAAAAAACGUGUAAUGAUUGACUAGGCUUUUAAACCUGAGCUGAAGGUAAGUUUGCCUUGCUAUUCCAGUUAAAUAUUCUCACUAGCCCCCUUCUUUUUCUCCAGUUGGUCAUGCCAUGAAGUCCCAUUCAGUCCCUGAUGCAUUCUUUAUUCUUUAGAAAUUUGGGCAAUAGUCAAAUCUGACCUUUAGAGCCAUAAACAAAUUAAAUUGUUUCACAGCCAAAUAAUAUGAAACAAUAUUGAAUAGCUAGGCUUCCGCUGAGUUUCCUCUUAAAGAGAAAGAAGCCCUGAAACAGCACAGACAUGGAAGAUAGAGGUGGAGGACAGGGAUGCUGAUACCCCACACAGCAGUGAGAUGGCAGAGCACUGGGGCUCAGCUAGGGACUGAUGGGUAUUAGCACUUUGGAAAAUGUUGUGAGAAGCAUUUAUUAAUUAUUUCCUCUUCUGGGAACAGAGCACUCCCUGAGAGCCAUACCCUGCUGCACAGACAGCAGUGCCAGCAGCGCCUCGUGCUCUGGCUGCGCUUCAAGGUGAAACCCAAAAGUGGCCAAGGCGGCCUUGGUGCCACUGGGUCGGAAACCAUUUCUGCUCUCCGCUGUUUGCCUGACCUAUGGCUGCAGGCAGCCCAGCCUUCCUGCACACACAGCUCCCCCUGCCACAGGCGGUCCUGCUGACACGGCGGAGGGGCAGGACUGUGUCACCUGCUGUCAGCCCUGCGGGGACAUCCUUGAGAGCACGGCUGCUCCCUUCCCCUCGGAUUGCAUGCAGGAAGCCGACAGCUGCCGAGGUGGCAGCAAGUGAGUCCUCUUUGGAGAGAUGCUGUAAGGUUCAGCACCUUUGUGGAGCAUUGCUGGAAUGCAAAGCAUCUGGAGCAGAUGUGGAAAUGUGAUAAGGCUCCUAGCUGUCCUUAAAAACACUAUGAAGUGGCCGGGUAGGGAUUCCCCUGGCAAAGGGAGAUUCCCCACCUGGCACCAAGCAGAUCUCAGUUGCCAGUGAGGCUCCGGGACCACCACAGGCAGCCCACCCUCAGUCCCCUGGGGAGAUCUCUGCUGUGGGUGGCACCCUGUCGCCUGCUCCCCCUGUCUCCUUUGCAAGGGGACAUCCCACCUGGAGACAGGCCACCCCUCCCCUGCCUUGCCUGUGCAGCCAGUUAUAGUUUAUGCAUAAAGGCAUAAAGAAAGAAACAGAGCAAUAAGAGGAGCUCUGGGCCAACACGAGCCACGCAGUACUGCAGCUAUAUUGGGCAGGUGGCACCCACAGCCCCCUGGCUCUGACACCAGGGCUGGCAGAGGCGUCCCUGUGCCCCUGGGCACCCAUCAGCACAACAGCAGCCCAUCCGUGGGGCACCUCCCAGCACCUACACCAGCACCAGCACUCACACUCAGUAUAGAGAGAUCCCAAACCACAAUUAAUUCUUUCCCUACAUGAUGUCUGCACACACAAUCCAAGCAACAAUCUGCUUAUUAGAGAUGUACAAAUGACACUCAUGGCUGCUGCUUUUCCCUGAGGCUGGCCACCUGAACUGCCAUUACUGUCACUGAUAUGAAAAGCAUUAAAUUACCUACAGGUAUGUGCCAUUUGCAAAGUAGAGGUGGCAGCCAUGAAGCACAUUUAGAUGCUUUAAUUAACUUGAAGAGCUAUGAAGCCGUGCCUGUAACUAAACUAGAGUUUUGCCUUCUGUAAACCGUUUGACAUAAGAAUGAUGAGUAUAAGAAUUAGAUGUAGGAAUACAUCUAAAUAUUUAUACUACAUUCACUACACAGUAUCUGAGCACAUGUUUAUGUUGUAACCUCCACUUUUACAUCCGUUAGUUUUGCUUUGCUGUGUAACCCCGGGUUAGCCACUGCUCAGUGCCACGGUGCCCUUCCACAGGCACUGACUUGGCUCUGGGAUGAUUCAGGAUAAAGCUCUUUCUCUGGACAAUGCAUUUCCAUGCUCUUGGUGCAAGACUUGCUGAGGCUUCAAAACCAGGACCGAGGAUUGACCAGCCUUCUGAGCUAAACCAGGCUGGCAACCCCUGCCUUGUACAGCCCCAGCAAACCGAACCUCCUCAUGUUGCAUUUCAAAGUCCUCUGACACAGGGCAAGGAAAUGCUGUGGCUGGGACCCAGUAGCUGCUGUCAUCAAAAUGCUGACAGAAACAGAGGUUAAGGGUACUAAAUAUUUCACUGUUAGCAAAGCCAAUAUAACAUGGUUUUUUGAAGACUGGGGAGAGGGGGACUCUGCCAGCAAUGGUACUGAGAUACACACAAAGCCCUGAAACUAACUUUGAGUAAGGUUUUAGAAGUCUUUCAAUUAGAUGAAAUAAAUGUGCAUUUUGAUCAAA